rnacentral:rRNA from 1 species
GAUCGGGUCGACUGGGAGUUUCUGCAGAAGGCGCUGAGUAGAUGGGGCUUCUCGGAACAGUGGAUUGCUUGGAUAAUGUCUUGUGUCAAAUCUGUCCGUUAUUCGGUUAAACUGAAUGGGAAACUUCUGGAGGUUUUUUCACCAUCGCGAGGCCUUCGUCAAGGUGACCCAUUGUCUCCGUUUUUGUUUCUCUUUGUCGCUGAUGCGUUAUCUGCUCUCCUAUCUAAAUCAGUGAAUGAAGGUAGCUUGAAACGGGUGAGCAUUUGUCGGGGUGCACCGGAGAUCUCUCAUCUCCUCUUUGCGGAUGACACCUUGCUCUUUUUUGAAGCUUCAGGCCAGCAGGCGGAUGUUGUUAAAGGUUUGUUGAAUACUUAUUCCUCGGCGACGGGUCAACUUAUAAAUCCCGAGAAGUGUUCCAUCCUUUUUUCUGACAACUGCGGUGGGUCAGUCGUGGAUGAGAUCAAGAGUACAUUGGAGGUAACGCAGCAGGUAUUUGAACCAAAAUACCUUGGACUCCCGGUCCCUGAAGGAAGAGUUCACAAGGGGCAGUUUGAGACACUGCAAGAUAGAUUGAGGAAAAUUCUUGUUGAUUGGAGUGAACAAUAUGUUUCAGUUGGAAAUAAAGAGAUUCUUAUCAAGGCCGUGGCUCAGGCGAUUCCCACCUAUGUAAUGAGCGUGUUCAAAUUACCAGCCUCAGUGUGUGAUGAUCUAACCAAGAUGAUGCGGCAAUACUGGUGGGGGGUGGAAAAUGGCAAAAGGAAGAUGGCCUGGUUAAGUUGGGAGAGGAUGAUGUUACCCAAAGCAAUGGGGGGCAUGGGAUUCCGAGACAUGAGGGCGUUUAAUCAAGCUCUGCUUGCCAAGCAGGCUUGGCGCCUCUUAGAUAGCCAAGAUAGCCUUUGUGCGAGAUUAUUGAAGGCCAAAUACUACCCUAGGGGAAAUUUGCUUGACACUGUUUUCUCGUCCAACAGUUCGGCGGUUUGGAAGGGUAUUGUUCAUGGACUUGAUUUGGUGAAAAAGGGCAUUAUUUGGCGCGUUGGCAACGGUGCAAUGAUAAAAACCUGGAGAGAUGCUUGGAUUCCUCGUGGUCACAAUUUCAGACCGAUCACUCCUAAAAGGAAUUGUCGGUACAACCGGGUAGCUGAUUUUCUGAAUGAGCAUGGAGCAUGGGAUGUGGAACGGCUUAGGGAGCAUUUUUGGGACAUGGAUGUCAGGGAGAUUGUGAAGGUACGUACAUCUCCAAGGAACGGGCAGGAUUUCAUCGCAUGGGCCGCGGAGAGGUCUGGACAGUUCACUGUGCGUAGUGCUUAUCAUCUUGCAAUGGAGGUCCAGCACUCCAUGAGGCUCAGCUCGUCAAGCAGUAAUGCUUCAGGUCGGAGGCCUAUUUGGCAGCGGAUUUGGAGCUCUAAAGUGCCGCUAAAGAUGACAAUUAUGGCCUAG